ACCAAGGCCAGGAGAGGAUCUUUACCAAGGUCACCAGCCAGUGAGAGGCAGAGCCAGGCGCAGUCCUCUGCUGAGUGGGAUUCCUGAUGUCUCAUGUGGGGGGCGGGACAGGAAGGAGGAAAGGAAAAAGGAAGGAAACCGGCAUUGCCUGUCGCCCUGCCCCAGCCAGGCUCAUCCAGGAUACCUCCCAUCAGACUCAAACCAAGGAGCACACAGCGCCCUCCCGCCCUGUCUUUCUGGAAUGACUUCUUUACUGGGAGCUCCUCCAGCACAGGGGCCUCAUUUGGCUCAACCAACCCCAGCCUGGAGCCCUGCACACAGUAGGGGUUUAGUAAACACUGGGGUGAAUUAUUCCUAGAAACCGCCAUGUGCCAAGUUCUGCAAUACGGACCUGAGGGCGUCGGUGUUAUUCGCACUAUUGUAGACGAGGAAACUGAGGCUCAGGGAGGUCCAGAGGUCCGGCCCCUCGCCCUCGGUCCCAGAAACAGCCAACGCUAGCAAACAGAGCAUUUGCUCGGUGCACAGCAGAAAUCCAAGCACCUCGCAGGAUGUACUCAUCUAACCUUCAAACAACCCUUGAGGCAGCUACUACCUUCUCCCCAUUUUCCAGAUGUGGACCUGGACGCACAGAGAAUUUUUUAAGUAACUUGCCUGACAAGCCCAAGAACUGGGAUUCGACCCCAGGCUGUCUGGUCUCAGUGCACACCUUUAACCACCUCUCCCCACGAUAAGCUUCCUGGAGAGGGAGAAAGCGGAACUCGCUGGCCUGCGGAUGAGAGGAAAUACGUUCAGAGAGGCUCAGAGACCUACAGAAGACGAGCAGCCACGGGGAGCUCUGGGCACCCAGCAGGGAAGGAGAGCAGGGGCUGAACUGCGCACCCUCUGGGCACCCCCCCCCCAACCAAUGCAGUCCCACGAGCACUGAAACAACCAGGGCUCAGCCUGGCUCCUCCAGCGCUGUCUCCUGGACCAUCCCGUUGCAGGCAAGAAGCAAGGGAGGAAGACACUGAAGGCUGGGGAAGGUCCUUCUUAGGAAAUCACCUUGCAGAGAUGGGCAGCAUUUAUAGGGACACGGAGGGGCUUGACACAGACCAGCUGCUGCCGCCGACGGACAGGCUGCUGGAGCGCCGAUGGGCUCUCAGCAAAAUUGAUAGCCGUUGUCAGAAAAUGAUUUCCCCACAGCCCCAUCGCAGGCCCUCGGAGGAGCUCGAAUCUCAGGCAGCGAUGCCUCCUGGGGCUGGCGGUCAGGCAGGCAGCCAGCCAGGUGGGCGGCCCUUACCUGGCCCAGCUGCUUCCCAGGGGUGGGGAGCCUGCAAUUCCCUGGUGAGGAGAGCCCGCGGGGCCCAUGCCAGGGGCUGUGGGGACAGUAGGAAGCCUGGCCUUCCCUCAGGCGAGAGCGGAGGCUCCCGCCUGUAUCUCCAAGCCCAGUGCAGAGCCUGGUACGGCGCAAGCACCCAGAGAAUGUUAAAUGAAUGAGCAAAUAAUGACAAUUCUAGAAAGCUUCAGAGGACGCCGGACCAGCAUAUAGAGAAAGGAUUCGCCAAAUGGACAAGGAGGGCAGAAGGCACGGGCACUGGCCACCCAGAGCCCACCCAUCCACGCACCUACCCAGUAAAGGAGGGAGUGAGUGAAUGGUGGGAAAUGGUGAACAAGCUCCCCCGUCAAGGCCCAACCUGGACCAGAACCUCCCCUCUCAGGCCCUCGACCCAAACAUGCUCACACCACAGCAAUUUUUUUAAAUUUCAAAUUGACUAUACCUGCUUUUUUAAAAUGACAGGAAAUCGUAUUUGAUGAUGCAAAGCUCUUUCCAUUGUUUUUUCAGAAACAGCUAGAAUCAA